rnacentral:rRNA from 1 species
UACGGAAGGCAGCAGUGGGGAAUAUUGCACAAUGGGCGAAAGCCUGAUGCAGCUAUGCCGCGUGUAUGAAGAAGGCCUUAGGGUUGUAAAGUACUUUCAUCGGGGAGGAAAAACAAAACUAAUAAUUUUAUUUCUUGACGUUACCCGAAAAAGAAGCACCGGCUAACUCCGUGCCAGCAGCCGCGGUAAUACGGAGGGUGCUAGCGUUAAUCAGAAUUACUGGGCGUAAAGAGCACGUAGGUGGUUUUUUUAAGUCAGAUGUGAAAUCCCUGGGCUUAACCUAGGAACUGCAUUUUGAAACUGAAAUACUAGAGUAUCGUAGAGGGAGGUAGAAUUCUAGGUGUAGCGGUGAAAUGCGUAGAUAUCUGGAGGAAUACCUGUGGCGAAAGCGGCCUCCUAAACGAAUACUGACACUGAGGGUGCGAAAAGCGUGGGGAGCAAAACAGGGAUUAGAUACC